UUNCACACAUGUUAAGUAAGCCAGGUUCAGC
rnacentral:piRNA from 1 species